UAACUUUCUAUCUUUCUCCACUUUCCUCAUUUCUUCCCUCACCUCUGCCUCUAUGAGUGCCUAGUUUUCUGUCCUCUCAAGCACUAAGGAUUCAGUUUUCAUGAAUCACUAACACCUUUUUCCUGUUCCCUGGCUUUGCUGCAUUGUGCUGAUAAGGCAGCUUGGAAGAGGUGGAUACAAGCAGGCUAUAUUGCCCUCUGGGCCUGGAGGCAUGGAAGUACCUACACCUGGAGACAAUCCCCUCUCAAGCACCAAGACUUUGACAUUCAUACGCUAGAAAGACUUUGGAGAGAGAAAGAAGCAGAGUUCUAGAAAGACUUGGAGAAGAAGCAAGGCAUAAUUUGAAUGGCUAAUGGGAGCUCCCUAAAGUUAUCUACAUGUGAAGAAACCCAGCCAUCCAACACACCUCUUGAUUCUCAAUGCCUGCAACACCAGAGACUUCUAAGAACAGACUUCGUGGGUUAGAUUGUUCUCUCCUUGGCUGAGCUAAGGUUUCAAGUAGAUCCUGAGUUGCAAAAUCCCUUGACUCUUAUGUAUUUGAUCAUUUAUUUAAUCUAAUCUUUUAAC